CCAGAGGAUCGGGCGGCCGCUGCCUUCGCUUGCGAGGGGAGAGGAAAGUCCGGGCUCCACGGAAACACGGUGCCGGGUAACACCCGGCGGGGCGCGUAUCUUCGGGCACGCGCUUCAGGGACAGUGCAACAGAAAGCAGGUCGCCGAAGCUUCGGCCAGGUGACAGUGAAAGGGUGCGGUAAGAGCGCACCGCGCCCCCGGCAACGGGGGUGGCAUGGCAAACCCCACCGGGAGCAAGACCGAAUAGGGGCGACACCGGGUCUCGUACCCGAGGGCCUGGUUCCGGCCCGUCGCCCGGGUUGGUUGCUUGAGGCACGGAGCGAUCCGUGCCCUAGAGGAAUGGUCGCCCAGUCCCCCUUGGGGAUGGACAGAACCCGGCUUACAGAUCCUCUGGCAUG
rnacentral:RNase_P_RNA from 2 species